AAUGAUACCCGGGUAGUCCACCCCGUAAACGUUGGGAACUAGUUGUGGGGUCCUUUCCACGGAUUCCGUGACGCAGCUAACGCAUUAAGUUCCCCGCCUGGGGAGUACGGCCGCAAGGCUAAAACUCAAAGGAAUUGACGGGGACCCGCACAAGCGGCGGAGCAUGCGGAUUAAUUCGAUGCAACGCGAAGAACCUUACCAAGGCUUGACAGUACACCAGAACACCCUAGAAAUAGGGGACUCUUUGGACACUGGUGAACAGGUGGUGCAUGGUUGUCGUCAGCUCGUGUCGUGAGAUGUUGGGUUAAGUCCCGCAACGAGCGCAACCCUCGUUCUAUGUUGCCAGCACGUAAUGGUGGGAACUCAUGGGAUACUGCCGGGGUCAACUCGGAGGAAGGUGGGGAUGACGUCAAAUCAUCAUGCCCCUUAUGUCUUGGGCUUCACGCAUGCUACAAUGGCCGGUACAAAGGGCUGCAAUACCGUGAGGUGGAGCGAAAUCCCAAAAGCCGGUCCCAGUUCGGAUUGAGGUCUGCAACUCGACUCAUG
rnacentral:rRNA from 1 species